UAGUCUCAGUUCGGAUUGUAGGCUGAAACUCGCCUACAUGAAGCUGGAGUUGCUAGUAAUCGCGAAUCAGCAUGUCGCGGUGAAUACGUUCCCGGGCCUUGUACACACCGCCCGUCACACCAUGAGAGUUGGCAAUACCCAACGUACGUGAUCUAACCCGCAAGGGAGGAAGCGUCCUAAGGUAGGGUCAGCGAUUGGGUGAAGUCGUAACAAGGUAAC
rnacentral:rRNA from 1 species